rnacentral:rRNA from 1 species
CCUACGGGGUGCAGCAGUGGGGAAUAUUGCACAAUGGGGGAAAGCCUGAUGCAGCGACGCCGCGUGAGCGAGGAAGUCUUUCGGUAUGUAAAGCUCUAUCAGCAGGGACGAAAAAAGACGGUACCCGACUAAGCAGCCCCGGCCAACUACGUGCCAGCAGCCGCGGUAAUACGUAGGGGGCAAGCGUUAUUCGGAUUUACUGGGUGUAAAGGGAGCGUAGACGGGAAGGCAAGCCAGAUGUGAAAGUCCAAGGCUCAACCCUGUACAUGCAUUUGGAACUGGGGUGCUUGAGUGCAGGAGAGGUAGGUGGAAUUCCUGGUGUAGCGGUGAAAUGCGUAGAUAUUAGGAGGAACACCAGUGGCGAAGGCGGGUUACUGGACUGUAACUGACGUUGAGGCUCGAAAGCGUGGGGAGCAAACAGGAUUAGAUACCCGUGUAGUC